UACGUAGGGGGCAAGCGUUGUCCGGAAUCAUUGGGCGUAAAGCGCGUGUAGGCGGCCCGAUAAGUCCGCUGUGAAAGUCCAGGGCUCAACCCUGGGAUGCCGGUGGAUACUGUCGGGCUCGAGUCCGGAAGAGGCGAGUGGAAUUCCUGGUGUAGCGGUGAAAUGCGCAGAUAUCAGGAGGAACACCGGUGGCGAAGGCGGCUUGCUGGGCCAGUUCUGACGCUGAGGAGCGAAAGCGUGGGGAGCGAACAGG
rnacentral:rRNA from 1 species